UACGUAGGGGGCAAGCGUUGUCCGGAGUUACUGGGCGUAAAGCGCACGCAGGCGGUCUUUUAAGUUUGGAGUGACAGUUGGUGGCUUAACUGCCAAAGUGCUUCGAAAACUGAAAGACUUGAGGGCUUCAGAGGGACACGGAAUUCCGGGUGGAGUGGUGAAAUGCGUAGAGAUCGGAAAGAACAUCGAUGGCGAAGGCAGCGACCUGGGACCAGACUGACACUGAGGCGCGAAAGCGUGGGGAGCAAACAGG
rnacentral:rRNA from 1 species